rnacentral:rRNA from 1 species
CCAGCUUGCUGGGUGGAUUAGUGGCGAACGGGUGAGUAACACGUGAGUAACCUGCCCUUGACUCUGGGAUAAGCGUUGGAAACGACGUCUAAUACCGGAUACGAGCUUCCACCGCAUGGUGAGUUGCUGGAAAGAAUUUUGGUCAAGGAUGGACUCGCGGCCUAUCAGCUUGUUGGUGAGGUAAUGGCUCACCAAGGCGACGACGGGUAGCCGGCCUGAGAGGGUGACCGGCCACACUGGGACUGAGACACGGCCCAGACUCCUACGGGAGGCAGCAGUGGGGAAUAUUGCACAAUGGGCGAAAGCCUGAUGCAGCAACGCCGCGUGAGGGACGACGGCCUUCGGGUUGUAAACCUCUUUUAGCAGGGAAGAAGCGAAAGUGACGGUACCUGCAGAAAAAGCACCGGCUAACUACGUGCCAGCAGCCGCGGUAAUACGUAGGGUGCAAGCGUUGUCCGGAAUUAUUGGGCGUAAAGAGCUCGUAGGCGGUUUGUCGCGUCUGCUGUGAAAUCCCGAGGCUCAACCUCGGGUCUGCAGUGGGUACGGGCAGACUAGAGUGCGGUAGGGGAGAUUGGAAUUCCUGGUGUAGCGGUGGAAUGCGCAGAUAUCAGGAGGAACACCGAUGGCGAAGGCAGAUCUCUGGGCCGCUACUGACGCUGAGGAGCGAAAGGGUGCGGAGCAAACAGGCUUAGAUACCCUGGUAGUCCACCCCGUAAACGUUGCGCGCUAGAUGUGGGGACCAUUCCACGGUUUCCGUGUCGUAGCUAACGCAUUAAGCGCCCCGCCUGGGGAGUACGGCCGCAAGGCUAAAACUCAAAGGAAUUGACGGGGGCCCGCACAAGCGGCGGAGCAUGCGGAUUAAUUCGAUGCAACGCGAAGAACCUUACCAAGGCUUGACAUAUACGAGAACGGGCCAGAAAUGGUCAACUCUUUGGACACUCGUAAACAGGUGGUGCAUGGUUGUCGUCAGCUCGUGUCGUGAGAUGUUGGGUUAAGUCCCGCAACGAGCGCAACCCUCGUUCUAUGUUGCCAGCACGUAAUGGUGGGAACUCAUGGGAUACUGCCGGGGUCAACUCGGAGGAAGGUGGGGACGACGUCAAAUCAUCAUGCCCCUUAUGUCUUGGGCUUCACGCAUGCUACAAUGGCCAGUACAAAGGGCUGCAAUACCGUAAGGUGGAGCGAAUCCCAAAAAGCUGGUCCCAGUUCGGAUUGAG